rnacentral:rRNA from 1 species
CCUUAACCUGCUAAAUAGAUGUGUUUGAAUCAUUCACUUGAUUCUCAUCAUCUUCUUAGAGGGACUUGCUACGUUUAGUGGCAGGAAGUUUGAGGCAAUAACAGGUCUGUGAUGCCCUUAGAUGUUCUGGGCUGCACGCGCGCUACACUGACAAAGUCAACAAGUAUACAACCUUGGUCGGAAGACCUGGGCAAUCUUUUCAAACUUUGUCGUGCUGGGGAUAGAUCAUUGCAAUUAUUGAUCUUCAACGAGGAAUUCCUAGUAAGCGCAAGUCAUCAGCUUGCGUUGAUUACGUCCCUGCCCUUUGUACACACCGCCCGUCGCUACUACCGAUUGAAUGGCUUAGUGAGGCCUUUGGAUUAGGAUGAUCAGGUCGCAAGAUUUAUCAUCCUCGAGAAAUUGGACAAACUUGGUCAUUUAGAGGAAGUAAAAGUCG